UGCGUGAAGUCGGAAUUGCUAGUAAUCGUGAAUCAGAAUGUAAGCGGUGAAUACGUUCCCGGGCCUUGUACACACCGCCUUUAAAAGGGGCAUGGGAGUGGGUUGCUCCAGAAGUAGCUAGUCUAACCCGCAAGGGGACGGUCCCCACGGAGGAUAAACCCCCUCCG
rnacentral:rRNA from 1 species